ensembl:lncRNA
AUGGCUCUUAUUUGUACAGAGCUGAGGUGUGGGUGGGGACUGGUGAUGGAAUUCCUGAAAUGCAGAGUGCUGGCACAAGGCUAUGAAAGCCUCCCCUUCCCUAGGGCGUCCAUUGAGGAAGGAUGCUUUUUUGGAGAUCGGAUUUGGACAGGAGGCUUUGGAGCUGGUGGAUCUGGCAUUGAGAGAAGAAUUAUAACUCUUAUCCUGGAGCAAAAAUGCAACUUCAGACUCCAUUUGCAUCACUAAUUUGACUGAAGCGUGAAAGGGGCUGGGUGAAAUGAACCUGGACCUUUGAGGCUGCCAUGUUGUUAAUGUGUUUUCUGCUUCUUACCAAAGACAUCAUCCCUAACCUGGGUGUUUCAUGGUGGAGAACAUCUGACAAGAGAUAUAUUGCUAGCAAUUGUGUUCUCACACUACAAACAGAUGCAGGGCCUUCAUUUUGAGAGGGAUGGGCAUUGCUCUCUCUCAAAUCAGUUAUGAUUAUUGCUCAGAACAGGUUUAUUGUUGAACUCAGAAGUUACUCCUUGAGUUGUGCUGGAGGAACUCAAGAUUUCUAGACAGUACAUUUCUAUAGGAAACUGUGGUCAAUGUCUGGUGGAAAUUGACUAUAGAGUUGCAUCAGAGGACCUAAGGAUUCAAAGAAAGACAAUAUUAGCCAAAUCUGAAAAUGAUAAAAUCCAGGAAAGUGAAAUCCACAAAUGUGGAAGGCCAACUGUUAAUGGACCAGAGCUUUCUCAGUAGCAUCAUACUGGUUGUUAAACUCCUUUUUAUUCUUCUGGCAGGAAAGCAAAACAAUACUGUUGUUCAAUGUGUUUUAAUGUUUUUAAUUGUUCAUCACCUUGGGAUCCUUGUGGGAUGGGAAGUAAUACAGAAAUAUCUCAAAGAAAUAGAAUCAAAGAUAGAUAAAUAGGCAGACAAUAUGAAAUUGGAAAAAUAUGGUUGUUAUUUCUGGUCCUGUGUUGAUAAUUUUCCUAGAGAUGCUGACAGCAUAAGAAUUAGAUAAAUGGGUACUUUAUAUUCAGAAAAUUAAACCAAAAAUGAAAGAAGUUUAAUUUGCUCUCUCUGUUAUGAUACAUCAAUUUGUGUAGUUGUAUAAAUAAAAAUUACAUCUACGUCUGUAUGUUUUUGUGGUAUAGUGAUUAGAGUGUUGGGCAAUGACUCCGGAGACCAGGGCUUGUUUGUUUCUUCACUCAGCCGUGGAAACCAAAUGGGUGCCCUUGAACAAAGUGAGCUCUCACAAACUUAGAUUAAGGCAAAGGCAACCUUCUAAACAAACUUGUCAAGAAAACCCCAUAGUAGAUUUGCCUUAAAGUCAUGAUAAGUUGAAAACACAGCAAUGAAGUUGCUUUGGGAGUUCUUGAAAUGAAAGACAGUUCAACAAUAUCUCCAAUCCGCUGCUUAGUCAUGGAAAGCUCACUGGUUGACUUUGGAUGAGUAAGACACUCUCAUCCACAGCUAAACCCUGAGUGGGUCACUUGAAGGCAUACAAGAACAAAAUGUACACAAUAUAAGAUCUGGCUGAGUUCUAGUAGUUCUAAGCAGCCUGUUUCUUCAGGGUUUUACUUUACCCAUGACUGCUGCACCCUAUAGAGAAGGAAAUUGAGGAUGUGGGCAUCCUUGUCUCCUUAAGAAGGGAAUUCUAAAGUUUUCUCAGGCAAGGAGUAUUCAGAGAUGGUUUGCCAGUUUCUUCCUCCAAAAUAUAGCUCACAUGACAUGGUAUUCUUUGGCAAUCUUCCAUCCAAAUACUAACCAAGGCUGACCCUGCUUAACUUACAAGGUGGAUGUCUGCAAAAAGAGGCUAGACAGCUAUAUAUUGGGGAUGUAUUAGCUAGAUUUCCAGCACUGAGCAGAGAGUUAGGCUCAAUGGCUCAUGAAGCCUAUUCCAAGACUGUGGUUUUAUUAUUCUACCUGCGGCUGAGAUUCUGUCACAUAGGAAUACAUCUAAAUACAGUAUGACCUUUGUAUCCACAGGGGAUACAUUCCCAGACUUGAUAUGCAAAAUUACGGAUAGUAACAAGCAAACACUAUUGAAAUGAAUAGAUUAUGGCCAAAGAAUAUCACAGAGCCUUACUAGAGGAUCUAGAAAAUGGCCAGAGAGGCUAUAUUUUUCGGAAGUUGAUACAUGAAAUUUAGCUACUGGUUGAAUAGAUAUGAGGGUUGAACUGUAGUUAAAUAAACAAAUAAAUAAGUCAAAAAGGUUAAGAUAAAAGUUAAAAAUCAUCCCUCCCAACAAAAGCACAUCCCAAAGUAGAGAUACUUUUCAGUGAAAGCAAGCAGCAAAAUUUAUUUCCCUGGCUUAGUUUCCCAUGUAUACGUCAUAACCUCUGAGGAUGCCGGCCAUAGAUGUGGGCGAAACAUCAGGAGAGAAUGCUUCUGGAACAUGGCCAUACAGCCUGGAAAACUCACCCAGUGAUUCCAGCCAUGAAAGCCUUCAACAACACAAAAUUUAGCUUGAUCCUUAAUAUUUCCCGAUCUUCACUUGCAUCUACUGUUUCUCAAACUCUGGUCUUCAAGAUGUUUUGAACACCUGAUCAUUGGGCAGCUGAGGCUUCUGGGAGUUGGAAGUCCAAAGGAAUAAAGUUUGGAAAUCAUUGAUCUAAUGGCCUUUUCCCUUCCUCUGCUUGCUUUUUUGAUGUGCUUCAAUCAAACUUCUGCCUCUGUGUGUGAUAUGCACAAAAAUGGCCCUAAUAUUAUUAAGCCUAAUAGAGGGAGGCUUUUCAUUUGCAGGUGGGUAGGAACUUUUCACUUUUCUACAUGCCACUUCAGAUUAAUCUGCAUUUAAGGUGCUAUGUCUUUUAAUUUUCGUUCUCCUCCCCC